rnacentral:rRNA from 1 species
UACGUAGGGUGCAAGCGUUGUCCGGAUUCACUGGGUGUAAAGGGUGCGCAGGCGGAUGGGUAAGUCAGGGGUGAAAUCUCACGGCUCAACCGUGAAACUGCCUUUGAUACUAUUCAUCUUGAGUUCGGGAGAGGUUGAUGGAAUUCCAGGUGUAGCGGUGAAAUGCGUAGAUAUCUGGAAGAACACCGGUGGCGAAGGCGGUCAACUGGCCCGCAACUGACGCUGAGGCACGAAAGCGUGGGGAUCAAACAGG